UUGAAACUUUCAACAACGGAUCUCUUGGUUCUGGCAUCGAUGAAGAACGCAGCGAAAUGCGAUAAGUAAUGUGAAUUGCAGAAUUCAGUGAAUCAUCGAAUCUUUGAACGCACAUUGCGCCCUCUGGUAUUCCAGAGGGCAUGCCUGUUCGAGCGUCAUU
rnacentral:rRNA from 1 species